rnacentral:rRNA from 1 species
GUUUGAUCCUGGCUCAGAACGAACGCUGGCGGCAGGCUUAACACAUGCAAGUCGAACGCCCCGCAAGGGGAGUGGCAGACGGGUGAGUAACGCGUGGGAAUCUACCGUGCCCUGCGGAAUAGCUCCGGGAAACUGGAAUUAAUACCGCAUACGCCCUACGGGGGAAAGAUUUAUCGGGGUAUGAUGAGCCCGCGUUGGAUUAGCUAGUUGGUGGGGUAAAGGCCUACCAAGGCGACGAUCCAUAGCUGGUCUGAGAGGAUGAUCAGCCACAUUGGGACUGAGACACGGCCCAAACUCCUACGGGAGGCAGCAGUGGGGAAUAUUGGACAAUGGGCGCAAGCCUGAUCCAGCCAUGCCGCGUGAGUGAUGAAGGCCUUAGGGUUGUAAAGCUCUUCACCGGAGAAGAUAAUGAC